CCAUUCUGUUGUCAUUAGCGUUUCUUGUCGUUAAAAAUGGGAAAUUAUUAGGCGAUAGUGUCGGGUAUAGAUUACGAUCCAAUGUUCCAGAUCGCUGUCAUUAACGAGAGUUGUCGGUGGUAGAUUAAAAAGGAGCUGCCGCGCAAUGCGUGAUGGGAGUCGAGCAGACCAGCUGAUCAGCAUGAUCAAAAUGGCGGCCUUUUCGUAGCGAUAGCCCGGUAUCCAGCCUGGCGUCCAUCCCUGGCGUUAUCCGGUCGGCAGUCGAACGGACUUCCCUGGAAAGAAGGUUCUUUGUCCAAAGUUCAUCGAUGUCUGGAAACGUGAACUGGCAGAAGUAGGGAAUCAGAUUACACAGCAGGAGAUGAAGAUCAUCAUGAAUCACUGCUGUCUGUCUAUAUAGAGUGGUCAAACACCAGCUUUAGUUGUUUACAAUGUCCUUGGUCUGACUGAAGACUACUGGUCAUAUAGACAAAUAUGAAAUUGUCAGGUAGAUUGGUUAGAAAUGGGUGUCCUAAUAAAUAAUAGAAUAAGACUGUACUGUGUUGGUUUGUUUUGUUUUCUUUGAUGCCAGUCAUCUGAGUGACACAUGUUUAGGACAAGGUCUCUAUAAAACUGUAGCCUGAGUACCAUCCUCUGUAGUUACUGCUGGCUCAGUACUUUUGCUUGCUAAUCACGGUGGUUAGCAAGGGAAAGUACUGAGCCAGCAGUCACUACAGAAAAUGGUACUCAGGCUAAUGAAACUGUAUAAAGCAUAUACUGGUAGUGAAUGUACAAUGAAUGUUGUAUUUAGCACAAUAAUUUGUAUUCUGCUGAUACUAAGUGUAAUGUGAGUUUGCUUUUCCAAUUGUAGUACUGUAUAUACAUGUAUUUGUGAUAGUUUGAUAUGCCAUUUAGAAAAAAAAACUAAACGACACCUGUUAACUCUAUUGUUUCGAAUGCCUUUUUUGUGCAGUGUGUCAUAUUCAUAGGUUCAUAUUUUGAUGCCUGAGUCUGAGAAAUGUGCAUCCUUGAAUCCGUACAUCUGCAAUCACUGUAUAUUUGUAAACGCUUGUGACUGUAUCUGUAAGCAGCAAGAUCUACAUUUGUGUAUAUAGCUACAGUGCAUAUACUGCCCAAUAUUGUCCUGAGGAAGGUGACAGAUGGUCACUGAAAUGUUGGUGUGAAAUAAAGAAAGAGUUGUGAG